rnacentral:hammerhead_ribozyme from 1 species
GUAUUGCUGAAGAGUCGCAAAUUAAAAUGAAACCGCCGUCCAGUAC